rnacentral:rRNA from 1 species
UAGGGAAUCUUCCACAAUGGACGCAAGUCUGAUGGAGCAACGGCCGCGUGAGUGAAGAAGGUUUUCGGAUCGUAAAGCUCUGUUGUUGGUGAAGAAGGAUAGAGGCAGUAACUGGCCUUUAUUUGACGGUAAUCAACCAGAAAGUCACGGCUAACUACGUGCCAGCAGCCGCGGUAAAUCGUAGGUGGCAAGCGUUGUCCGGAUUUAUUGGGCGUAAAGCGAGCGCAGGCGGAAGAAUAAGUCUGAUGUGAAAGCCCUCGGCUUAACCGAGGAACUGCAUCGGAAACUGUUUUUCUUGAGUGCAGAAGAGGAGAGUGGAACUCCAUGUGUAGCGGUGGAAUGCGUAGAUAUAUGGAAGAACACCAGUGGCGAAGGCGACUCUCUGGUCUGCAACUGACGCUGAGGCUCGAAAGCAUGGGUAGCGAACAGGAUUAGAUACCCUGGUAGUCCAUGCCGUAAACGAUGAGUGCUAAGUGUUGGGAGGUUUUCCGCCUCUCAGUGCUGCAGCUAACGCAUUAAGCACUCCGCCUGGGGGAGUACGACCGCAAGGUUGAAAC